GAUGAACGCUGGCGGCGUGCCUAACACAUGCAAGUCGAACGAAGCGCUUUCCCGGAGGCUUUUCGGAGCGGAAGGGGAAAUGACUGAGUGGCGGACGGGUGAGUAACGCGUGGGCAACCUGCCCCACACUGGGGGACAACAGCCGGAAACGGCUGCUAAUACCGCAUAUGCGCACAGCUCCGCAUGGGGCAGUGCGGAAAGCUCCGGCGGUGUGGGAUGGGCCCGCGUCUGAUUAGCUAGUUGGCGGGGCAGCGGCCCACCAAGGCAGCGAUCAGUAGCCGGCCUGAGAGGGCGGACGGCCACAUUGGGACUGAGACACGGCCCAG
rnacentral:rRNA from 1 species